AUGAUACUCCCUCUGUCCGAAAAUACUUGUCCUAGAGAUGAAUGUAUCUAGACUUAUUUUAGUUAUAGAUACAUUCAUUAUAUCCAUUUCUAUGACAAGUAUUUCCGGACGGAGGGAGUACUAG
rnacentral:pre_miRNA from 1 species